rnacentral:misc_RNA from 1 species
AAGAAUUUGUCCUGUCCUCUCGAGGAUGGGUCCUCUUCUAAACCGUGUAUACAUACCUUUGUUGCUUUGGCGGGCCGCCGUCUCGGCGUUGGCUUCGGCUGACUGUGCCCGCCAGAGAACCCCAACUCUUCUGUUUAGUAUUGUCUGAGUACUAUAUAAUAGUUA